UUCAGCUCACCAAUGACUCUGACUCUGGUGUGGGGUUGGUUGAGUUGUGUUGAUCCUUGUUGAUUCCUGCGGAUCCCCCAGAUGAAGGAAAAGACCAUCCUUACUGCGCCAGUCUCUCAAAUGCCUCAUGCUGCUUGAACUGGGUGGAUGCUUGUUGGAGCUUUAACGAGCAUCGUCUCACAAACUUCUGAAGUUUUAGGUCCUUCCUCCACAACAUUUGCUCAUUGACUCUUCUUUCUCUUAGUUGUNNNNNNNNNNNNNNNNNNNNCGUUGAUGAGGAUUUGGCAACUAUUGUCUUUCAUUAUCUUCGAAGGGUCUUUGAACUUGUGCAGAGCUCCUCUGCUGGAUAGAUAAGAGAAUUGGGGUACUCGGUUUCGCCCAUUCUCUUAAGGGUUGAGAAGGCAAAGGUUACUUGACUUCGCCCGCCUCCUCGAGAUUGUACUCCAUGCAUCGAGCUGGUUAUUGGUCUUCGCCUGCUCUUUGCUCACACUUCUGAAGCACUUGAAGUGUUUGCACUCCUUGCGUUGAGUUAGUUACUGUGAUUCACCUUUUCAAUGCCAUUGAACUACUGGAAUGCAGGAAGUUUUCACCCCAACUUGGAGUAGUUCUCUCAUAGGUUUGGUCGCCUCUGGGAUUGUACCGUCUUCUCCAUCAACCCUGCUGCCUACUCCACUGAGUAGCAAAGGUACAACACCGUGUACUGCCUGCUUCGUUCCUUGGUUAUGCACUCUUGCAUGACCCGAAGUCCUUCACUUACGGCUAUCUUGAUGAGAAACUUGUUGACACCGGUCUUACGAAGUUUCUUGGCUUCUGCCCUUCAGCCUUGUCUCGGUACUUGGAGAUUGCCCCUGCAUGCUCCACCUCCUUGGCCCCUUUCACGACCAAGCGCUCUCCCUCCAUGAGAGCAAGGGAUCAAUGACUUUCGCGGAAGUCCCGCCUCUGCGGUACCAUAGCGCUGCCAUGCCCAUGGCCCUACUAUCCGUCGCCUCGCAUCUGCAUCCCUUUUCUUCACGAUCAGUAGAUAUGUCUCCAUGACACUCCUUUGAGUCUACCUCCAUUCUAACUAAUGCUUGAUUUUGGGUAGCUAAGUCCCUCUGGACUCGUCGUCGCUUCCUCGCCCCUUUCGACCCCCUGCUUCAACACCUCUGUGUUCUCCAAGCAGUCUGUUUGGUCGAUGGAAAGACAGACUGCAACUCCCAUGCAUGGCCUCUGCCAUCAUAUUGUAGGGUUUGCACCGAUUCUGUUCUCCUUAGCUUCCUUGGUUGCAACGUUCGCUUACUCGACCUUGUCCUCUGACUUGUCAAGCUCCCUUAAGCGAAUAUGAGCUCUGGAGCAGUCGAACUCUCCAGCUGCUUCGAUCAUACCUCUACAUGAUCAAGUCCCUCCCAUGGAACUCACUGGUACUUGCAUUCGAACUUUUCCCUUGGUGGAACCCAGGUCCCAUAUGCUGAUGACUAAGGUUUUUCAUCCGAUGCAAAAUUCGAUGCACGCCCGGAAGACCCGCCUCUGCGAUACCAUGGCCUUCACUCCUUGAAUCUAUAGCCCUUAUUGUCGUCAUGUUGUUCACCGAAGUGGAGCUCCCAAUAGCUCCCGAUCAUACCUCCAUAUGAUCUAGUCCCUCCCGGGACUGUCGUGUGUAUCGCAUUGCCACGAACUGUUCCACCACGAUCCACUGCACCAUGUCGCCUCUUGGUGACAUCUCCAUUGCAUUCUGAUCCUUGUGGAAUAAACUCGAAUUGUGAACCCUCCAUGUGUGGCCUCUGCCAAUACAUCGCAGGGUCUCUUCCACCUUCGAUUUUGUUCGCUCCUUUGGCAAUCGACCUUCAUCCACCCACUCUUGGGUCACACUUAGAUGAAGCACCGCUCUAGGAUAGUCCAUCGCCUAGUAGCUCCCGAAGUCCACCGACUUCACUGUAAUUUGUGCACCAUUGUUUGGAUCCUGGGCCUCUGCCCCUACCAGCACAAUCUCCGCUGCGCACCGCUUCCUUCAUGGCAACUUGAAUGGUAACACUAUGGCAUAUUCUUCAAGAGUACCCGCCUCUGCGUCCUCUUGCCCCGUGCUAAGGCCUUCUGAACCCAACUUCGCCUCCGCAAAUUGAGUCGCCUUAGUUCCUCCAUCAAAUGCUCCUCCGAGAUAAGGUGC
rnacentral:lncRNA from 1 species